GUCCAGACUCCUACGGGAGGCAGCAGUGAGGAAUAUUGGUCAAUGGGCGGGAGCCUGAACCAGCCAAGCCGCGUGAGGGAAGAAGGUACAGCGUAUCGUAAACCUCUUUUGUCAGGGAACAAAGGCGGGGACUAGUCCCCGGAUGAGGGUACCUGAAGAAAAAGCAUCGGCUAACUCCGUGCCAGCAGCCGCGGUAAUACGGAGGAUGCGAGCGUUAUCCGGAUUUAUUGGGUUUAAAGGGUGCGCAGGCGGCCUGUUAAGACAGGGGUAAAGGCCCGGGGCUCAACCCCGGCGAGCCGUUGAAACUGGCGGGCUGGAGUUGGAGAGAAGUACGCGGAAUGCGCGGUGUAGCGGUGAAAUGCAUAGAUAUCACGCAGAACCCCGAUUGCGAAGGCAGCAUGCCGGCUUCCGACUGACGCUGAAGCACGAAAGCGUGGGGAUCGAACAGGAUUAGAUACCCCAGUA
rnacentral:rRNA from 1 species